GAUGAACGCUGGCGGCGUGCUUAACACAUGCAAGUCGAGCGGAAAGGCUCCUGCUUGCAGGGGUACUCGAGUGGCGAGCGGGUGAGUAACACGUGGGUGAUCUGCCCUGCACUUCGGGAUAAGCCUGGGAAACUGGGUCUAAUACCGGAUAGGACGAUGGUUUGGAUGCCAUUGUGGAAAGUUUUUUCGGUGUGGGAUGAGCUCGCGGCCUAUCAGCUUGUUGGUGGGGUAAUGGCCUACCAAGGCGUCGACGGGUAGCCGGCCUGAGAGGGUGUACGGCCACAUUGGGACUGAGAUACGGCCCAGACUCCUACGGGAGGCAGCAGUGGGGAAUAUUGCACAAUGGGCGCAAGCCCGAUGCAGCGACGCCGCGUGGGGGAUGACGGCCUUCGGGUUGUAAACUCCUUUCGCUAGGGACGAAGCGCAAGUGACGGUACCUGGAGAAGAAGCACCGGCUAACUACGUG
rnacentral:rRNA from 1 species